UGCUCGGUGAAGGUACAGACGGUGUCGUUUACAAAGCUAUUGAUACGAAGACAGGACAGACAGUUGCAAUCAAGAAAAUUGGGCUUGGAAAGCAAAAGGAGGGAGUGAAUUUUACUGCACUAAGAGAAAUAAAGCUGCUAAAA